GGGGCUAUAGUUUAAUUUAAGAUACCUAUUUUGCAUGUAGGAGAUUUGGCUCUA
rnacentral:tRNA from 1 species